UGGGGAAUUUUCCGCAAUGGGCGCAAGCCUGACGGAGCAAUACCGCGUGAGGGAGGAAGGCUUUUGGGUUGUAAACCUCUUUUUUCAAGGAAGAAGCAAGUGACGGUACUUGAAGAAUCAGCAUCGGCUAACUCCGUGCCAGCAGCCGCGGUAAUACGUAGGGGCCUAGCGUUGUCCGGAAUUAUUGGGCGUAAAGAGCUCGUAGGCGGCCCACCAAGUCGGAUGUGAAAUCUCAAGGCUCAACCUUGAAAUUGCAUCCGAUACUGAUGGGCUUGAGGCAGGUAGGGGAAGGUGGAAUUCCUGGUGUAGCGGUGAAAUGCGCAGAUAUCAGGAGGAACACCGGUGGCGAAGGCGGCCUUCUGGGCCUGUACUGACGCUGAGGAGCGAAAGCGUGGGGAGCAAACAGGAUUAGAUACCCGUGUAGUCC
rnacentral:rRNA from 1 species